CCUACGGGAGGCAGCAGUGGGGAAUAUUGGACAAUGGGGGGAACCCUGAUCCAGCGACGCCGCGUGAGUGAAGAAGUAUUUCGGUAUGUAAAGCUCUAUCAGCAGGGAAGAAAGGAAUGACGGUACCUGACUAUGAAGCCCCGGCUAACUACGUGCCAGCAGCCGCGGUAAUACGUAGGGGGCAAGCGUUAUCCGGAUUUACUGGGUGUAAAGGGAGCGUAGACGGUUACGCAAGUCUGGAGUGAAAGGCGGGGGCACAACCCCCGGACUGCUUUGGAAACUGUAUAACUGGAGUGCAGGAGAGGUAAGUGGAAUUCCUAGUGUAGCGGUGAAAUGCGUAGAUAUUAGGAGGAACACCAGUGGCGAAGGCGGCUUACUGGACUGUAACUGACGUUGAGGCUCGAAAGCGUGGGGAGCAAACAGGAUUAGAUACCCCUGUAGUC
rnacentral:rRNA from 1 species